UGCGAGCCCCUCCCUACAACCCCCCUCCCCCUACCCCAACCAAUGGCGGAGUGCGGAACAGACCAAUGGCGGAGUGCGGAACAUACCAAUGGCGGAGUGCGGAACAGACCAAUGGCGGAGUGCGGAACAGACCAAUGGCGGAGUGCGGAACAGACCAAUGCCGGAGUGCGGAACAGACCAAUGGCGGAGUGAGGAACAGAACAAUGGCGGAGUGCGGAGCAGACCAAUGCUGGGAUGUAGCACGUGGAUCAACACGUCAAACGAAAAUUAGACACAGGCAUCGAGUUGAUGACGCGUCAACGCCUGUAACCAGCGAUGGCAUGCUGUACGUGUGCAGCGUCAUUCACGACGCUAUUUAAAGACCGUAUCUGCGUCUAUAGAGAUAGCGCCGGAGCAAGCGACUCACCCACACCAGUUACCAUGGCACUGUUUGCCGGGCGUGUUACUCUUCACGUCGGCGGCCAAGAAUUCGUGGCUGGACGCUGAUAUCUUGUGUACAUGUAUGUGUAGUUGUGUACAUGAUGUCAUGGAAACCGCUUUGCCACGGGUCCAGGCGAUCCUGCCCGUGAGCUCAUCUCAUAAUUAUUUGUUUGACGGUUCCCUGAAGAGGUCAGCUAUUUGUUCCAGGAUUCCUUGUGCUGUGUGAGAGUGUGCCAGACUGUGAGUCGGUCUUUUGGAGGCGAACGUGACAGACUCCUCCUGCAGCUUCACGUUU